rnacentral:rRNA from 1 species
GAUGAACGCUGGCGGCGUGCCUAAUACAUGCAAGUCGAGCGAACGGACGAGACGCUUGCUUCUCUGAUGUUAGCGGCGGACGGGUGAGUAACACGUGGAUAACCUACCUAUAAGACUGGGAUAACUUCGGGAAACCGUAGCUAAUACCGGAUAAUAUUUUGAACCGCAUGGUUCAAAAGUGAAAGACGGUCUUGCUGUCACUUAUAGAUGGAUCUGCGCUGCAUUAGCUAGUUGGUAAGGUAACGGCUUAUCAAGGCAACGAUGCGUAGCCGACCUGAGAGGGGGAUCGGCCACACUGGAACUGAGACACGGUCCAGACGCCUACGGGAGGCAGCAGUAGGGAAUCUUCCGCAAUGGGCGAAAGCCUGACGGAGCAACGCCGCGUGAGUGAUGAAGGUCUUCGGAUCGUAAAACUCUGUUAUUAGGGAAGAACAUAUGUGUAAGUAACUGUGCACAUCUUGACGGUACCUAAUCAGAAAGCCACGGCUAACUACGUG